CAGCCACACCUUCCUUUUAAGAU
rnacentral:miRNA from 8 species